rnacentral:rRNA from 1 species
GAUGAACGCUAGCGACAGGCCUAACACAUGCAAGUCGAGGGGCAGCACGGGAGUAGCAAUACAACUGGUGGCGACCGGCGCACGGGUGAGUAACACGUAUGCAACCUACCUGUAAGAGGGGAAUAACCCGGAGAAAUUCGGACUAACACCGCAUAAUACCUCGAAGCUGCAUGGCUUUGAGGUUAAAUAUUUAUAGCUUACAGAUGGGCAUGCGUAACAUUAGAUAGUUGGUGAGGUAACGGCUCACCAAGUCAACGAUGUUUAGGGGUUCUGAGAGGAAGGUCCCCCACACUGGUACUGAGACACGGACCAGACUCCUACGGGAGGCAGCAGUGAGGAAUAUUGGUCAAUGGGCGAGAGCCUGAACCAGCCAAGUCGCGUGAAGGAAGAAUGUCCUAUGGAUUGUAAACUUCUUUUGUAAGGGAAUAAAAAGCUUACGUGUAGGCUAUUGUAUGUACUUUACGAAUAAGGAUCGGCUAACUCCGUGCCAGCAGCCGCGGU